GCGGAGAUUAAGGGAGUUGUCAAUAUUAAAGAUUGAUCUUCUUUAUUCCAUCUUCAUCUUAGCUACCACAUCUAGCCUAAGAUCUUUUGUGAACACAAUAUCUUCACCAAAAAAGAGUCCACACAAAAACUGUCACCAUGGCACAUGGAGCAAUGAUCCUUACCAUAUUCGUGUUUGCUGCUACACCUGUACCAUGCACCACUGAUUCAAACUCAAAAACAGAAUCUAAAGCAGCCCUUCCAGGCCAAUCGGCCAUAAAAAACACCAUCACAACUGAAAAAUCUGCUGUAACUAUGAGGACAACAGAGUCUACCACAUCAGUAUCCAACACUACCAUUCCUGGAACUGAGAAUAAUGUUAAUGUCAAAGCAAAAACAAGUUCAACUGUCCGUACUACUAAAGAAGCAAUGGAGAGCACAGUAACUGCCACGCCAACAGCUGAAACUGUGGUUUCAACCCUUAGCAGUAUUACACCACCUAUGUCGUCCAGCACUGUAACCGCAUCUAUCCACCUCACCAACACAGUGACACACACUGAUUCAGGGUCCACAACUAAAGACAAAACUCCAUCCUCCACAACUUCUGUUUCCUCUACUGCUCCCUCUUCAACAGCCACAUCUCAAGCCCCUGUUAAUGAUACAUCAACGACAUUAGCCCACACAACCACUACUAAAACUUCAUCUCUUAAUAAUGAACCCAAAUCAACACACCAAGCAGUCAUAACGUCAGUCUUCAUUGCCACCAGUAACAGUUUAGAACAUACAGCUAUAGGCAUACCCUCAACUGCCAGGACAACACACACUGAUUCAGGGCCUACAACUAAAAACAAAAUAACAUCCUCCACAAAUUCUGUUUUCUCUACUCCUGCCUCAGCUAUAUCUACAGCUACAAAUGUUACUUCAGCCCCUAUAGCCACUAAUAUUAAUACUGCCUUUGUGACCACAACCAACCUUGUAGGCCCUGCAACUGCCAAACCUACAACAAGUACUGCCACUACUCUUGCAUAUUCAGCAACAACUACAGAUUUCACAAAUCACACAGCCGCAAAACUUCCUUCCACUCCCACAACCACUGGUAUCACAACAACCCCCACAACCUCAAAAGUUACUUUAAGUCCUCUGACAAAUUACACAACUUCAGUCCAUGGGACCAGAACCACAUUGGUAACCCAUACAACUCCCAAAGCCAUGACAAAGCCUCCUGCUACUACAGUUGCACCACCUGGCUCAACUACUGCAUCCUUACAUACAAACCCCACUUCCACAACUACACCUCCAGCUAACAUUUUGGAUAGAUCAACCACAUCACCCGACACAACUGC